rnacentral:rRNA from 1 species
UUCCGGUUGAUCCUGCCGGAGGUCACUGCUAUCAGUGUUCGACUAAGCCAUGCAAGUCAAAUGUUCUUCGUGAACAUGGCGGACUGCUCAGUAACACGUGGAUAACCUGCCCUUAGGAUUGGCAUAACACCGGGAAACUGGUGAUAAUACCGAAUAGACCAUUUAUGCUGGAAUGCUUUUUGGUUCAAAGGCUUCGGCUGCCUAAGGAUGGAUCUGCGGCCUAUCAGGUAGUAGUGGGUGUAAUGUACCUACUAGCCUACGACGGGUACGGGUUGUGAGAGCAAGAGCCCGGAGAUGGAUUCUGAGACAUGAAUCCAGGCCCUACGGGGCGCAGCAGGCGCGAAAACUUUACAAUGCGGGAAACCGCGAUAAGGGGACACUGAGUGCCAGCAUAUUAUGUUGGCUGUCCACAUGUAUAAAGACCAUGUGUUAGCAAGGGCCGGGCAAGACCGGUGCCAGCCGCCGCGGUAACACCGGCGGCCCGAGUGGUGAUCACUUUUAUUGGGUCUAAAGGGUCCGUAGCCGGUUUGAUCAGUCUUCUGGGAAAUCUGACAGCUCAACUGUUAGGCUUUCAGGGGAUACUGUUAGACUUGGGACUGGGAGAGGUAAGAGGUACUACAGGGGUAGGAGUGAAAUCUUGUAAUCCCUGUGGGACCACCAGUGGCGAAGGCGUCUCACCAGAACGGGUCCGACGGUGAGGGACGAAAGCUGGGGGCACGAACCGGAUUAGAUACCCGGGUAGUCCCAGCCGUAAACGAUGUUCGCUAGGUGUCAGGGACGGUGCGACCGUUUCUGGUGCCGUAGGGAAGCCGUGAAGCGAACCACCUGGGAAGUACGGCCGCAAGGCUGAAACUUAAAGGAAUUGG